UGGCAUGAAACUUCCCUUGCACAGACUUUAACCCCGGGGAAUGAAUUUGUAGCUCAAAGAGGAACUAGAAACCCAGAGGCACAAAAUGGAACAAACAGGCUCCUGUUUGCUCGUGCUUGUCUCUGAAGUUCUCUUGGUGUAGCUAACAGAGGAGUCUGUGUUCCCUGGGGUUCAGUAGAGCAGCCCACAUGGAUUACUCCAGUUGCACAGUCCUUGGAAGAAGCAUGGCCUGAACAAAUUUCUUUGUCUCCUCUUUGAGCAAGAGAAGCUCUUUAAUCCUUCAGAUGAUGUUUCAAAGCACAGAGUACUUGAUGAGGUUAUAGACUGACAAGAAGAUGCCUAGGACAGGAAUGACCACCUUCCUGAGGGAGGGAUGUGGUGUUGAAUUCUUUGUCAUUGUUCUCUGCCAAUGUGUUUUAUCCUAGUCCUUCUCAAGCCAUGAAGUGAGGAGAGUUCCCUCUAGCACUAAGCCUCUCCCAGAGCCAGCCAAGGCUGGGGAUGAAUCUUUCUGUGGUGUGAAUGUCCUUCAAUUUUCUUCAGAUAAUUUCAUCAGUCACCCAAGGACACCAGUGACCUUGGACAGCUGGAAUGCUGUCAUGGGUGAAUGAUCCCACUCCUGUUACCAGCUCCUUUCAGCAUCUGCUUCCUUUACAGAACACUCCCACAUUAUGAUGGCACAGAAUGUAUGGAAUAUUGGUGUACUACUGAAAAGAGGAAUGAAAGUGCUAGGAUAGUUUCUCUGCUGGCUUAAGAGGAGCUGCACAGGUGGCAAUGAAGGUGGCUUAUAUCAUGUCUCGGGGAGAAGGGACUCGGUGGAUUGGUUCCUCAUUGUGUCAGAAGAGAUGUUGGAAGCCCCUGUACUCUGUAGGGCACCUGGGCCUUGUGUUUGCUCACACACAGCUUGGCUGAACUCCAGUCUCCUCUUGCUGAACCAGAUCUUAGCCUCUAGGCCAGACCAAAGCAGUCUUGAGAACCAGCAGAGUGACAGUAUCAAUGUUUGACAUCUGUCUCAUUCAGAGGACAAGGCUGAUAAAUCUGCAGCUUCAUCUGGGCCUGAGGCAACCAAAACCCCAGGCAGGGUGGGCCAGUGAGGCUGAGCUUUCCAACCAGCCUGGAGCCUUAAGUCUUCAAGACAGCUGUGUCUAUUCCUGUGUCCAGUUUGGUAAAGGAUCUCAAAAUGCUGGUAUAUGUCUGGGAAUGUAACUGCUGUCUCCUGAAGUUACCCACAUUCCAAGGAUCUGACUCUCCUACAGGGAACAGAGUGCCAGAGGCUACUCCCAUAGUAAAUUCCUGAAGUGUCUAGAAGAUGCUUUACCAAAAGCAACCUCCUGCUGCUCCAAGUGGUGGUUUGAGGGUGAAGCUCAGCAGUGUCCCCACUCCUCACCUGGGCACAGGUACAUGGUGAGUGUGGCAGGUGAAAACACCCAUCUACACCUGCACUCAUUAAAGUCUCCCUUUUGCCUUUUUAAUAGUUGUAUUUGCCCUCUUCAGGGGAUGGAUUUAGUAAUAUUUUCCCUUCCUUUACACCCUUACUCAUCUCUGCCCAUGUGUUGGAGCAGCUGUGCUCUAGGGUGGUGAGAAAGUUUGCAGGUAAAUAUUGAUUAUCUCUUUGUAGUAAUUCAGCAAAAGGCAGCACUUUGCUUUUCACCUGCAUUUUCACCUUCUCUCAAGUGGAUUAGUUCCUGAGGAGUAUCCUUAGGAAAGAAAUCCUUACAUAUGUGAAUGAAACAGGCCUUUAGAAUAGGUGCAGAAUUCCUGAUAAAGGAUCCCCAGAGUCCUAUAACCAUUUUGCUGCCUUCAUUCGUGCCUAAAGAACUGGGGAUGUUGUGUGGGGGAAGGAAAUGAGGUGGGAGGCGGCUGAUGAGAGAAGCAAUGUACCCUGCUAACAAAUCUCAUCUGAACAGAUACAUCCAGGACCUCUGUGUCUCCUUUCACCUGCCUCAUUCUGAGCAACCACACUGAGAAGGAAAAAAACCAUUUAAAGCUCCCCUAACCAGAGCCUCGUGGGAAAACAAGAUAAAUAGCAGCAGAGCUGGUGCUGCUAUGGGUGCGAAACGCACACAGCACCAGGAUCAACACAUCCCUGCCAUGUGGCAGCAUCUGCUGCUGCCCUGGCUUGGCACAGGUUCCAGUGCCCCUUUGUACUCUUCUUUGAUCCAGUGCUGUGUUCAGCAGAGGGCAUUUGAUUAAUUCUAUUUUCCUAGUGCUGAGGGGGAGGUACGUGCAGCUGGAGGGGAAGAGCUUGCUUUAGACACCCCGUAUUGGAAGGUGUUACCUGCCCUCACGGAUUUUCUGAUUCUCUCCAAAGUGCAGCAUUUUCUCGAGAAGGAGCUAAUCCUGUGGGGCACUGAGGACCACUAAGACACUGUGACAGGGUUCUUAGGCCAGUUCACUGCAGCCUCAGCCCUCUGCUUCCCCUUCCACCCUGUCAAAGUCAAGGCUGCUUUUCCUGCAGCACUGCCCUUCUGGCAACUGCGAGUCUGUACUGCUCGCCACAACCUCAGUCUAUCAUCUGAGGAUGCAGCAGUUGAAUAACAGCCUGAGCUUCUGCAAAACAACUGUGGGAGUCCCUCAGGCCACCGACGCUGCUUAUUCCUCCCUCAGAGCCCCAGGGAGCCGAUGCAGUGACAGUGUAAAGGCUCCUGAGGACAGCAGGAUAAAAGCAGCUUGCACGGUGGCCAGCAGGCUCCAGCUUGGCUGGAAACUGCCCUGCCCCAAAUGCCAGUAAGGGGGGGAUGUAUUUCUCCUGGCCUUUCCUGGUUUGUGAAAUUCAUCCAUCUUGUGACAGAAGGGGGCAUGAGAAGAAGAGCAGGGAUCUUUUUCUGACCAAAAAUCGAGAUAGGGACAAUCUUUUAACCUAAACCUGAUUAUUUCCAUUAGCAGUGGCUUUUCCUCACCAGGAUUUCUGCACUAGUCAGUUCUGUAGUGCUUUCAGGAAGACAUCUGCCUGGUGCUUGGGGUGGAAGUUGGACUCUUUGCUCUCUGGGGAUGGUUUCCCCUGGGCGGAUUUUUGGUUCCCUGCCUUCCUAAGGAUAGCUUUUGCCUGCUGCUUGUUUCCCCCCCUGAGUACUUGUUUCCAAGAGAAAUUGCUGGUUUAUGGUUUUUGCUCUGCUCUUGUCAGAGCCUGUCCCAAGCUGGCGAUGUGGACUGCAGGCUUACCUGGGGUGUGCUUUGGGGCUUCCAGGAGCAGCAAAGCUCUUCAGUAAACUCCAGCAGAACACAGGCUGUAUGUUGAGGUAAUCAGCAUCCUUGAUCUUCUCCUCUGAGACCCAGCAGUUAGCUUAUUUGCACUCUGUUGUGGCAAAAAUACAAAGAAAACAAAUAUGGAAGAUUAUUUAAUGAACUCUGGGAAUGAAUAAUGAAUACAUCAUUUUUAAGUGGUUCUUCAGGCUGCUGCAGAGUGCUACCCUGAGAUGUGAGAGCAGGAAUCUUGGCUAAUACAAAGGAGGGCGGUCAUUUUGUUCCUGAAUGAGCAGCUUACAGGAUGAAUGGGACACUUAAUUGUUUCUUGAAGCAAACUUUUUAGACAUCAGUGUGUCUAAGAAGGAGACUUGGCAGUGUGCUGAGCCUUAAUUUUUAAACAGUGUGAAAGAUGGGCUUGACUUACCUUUGCUUUGAGUUGGUGUUAUGCCGCUGACUUCACUGGAGAAUUUGUCACCCUCACAUAUCACCUGCCUGGCUGUUUGUUGGCACUGCAGUAAGAAAUGAAGCACCAAGCAAGGUUUUCCAGCAAGACUACAAUUUUCUGGAAGAUCCCAUGCUGCCAGAAGUAUAUGACUGACUUAAACUGAUUUGUUACAGGUCUUGUGUUAAACACAUUAUCUUUGCCAUGAUAUCCUGGCUCAGUCUUUAUCUAAAAACCAUGAAAGCUGUUUGAAACCUUCAUCUAUUGGGAGAUUGGCUCACAUUUCAAGUAAGUCAUGCAGCAUUUUUUCCUAGACUGAAAAAAAAAAAAAAAAAAAAUCAGGCUGGUCUGCAAUUAUUGCUUAUAACUCAAAAGGGUUUUAGGAUAGCUGUAUAUCUUGGGUUUGGUGUCCCUCAGAGUCCUUGGUGGAUAGACUCAUGGUAGUGAAAACAUUUUAGGGUUGGAUGACUCAAGAAAUUUCCUUUUUAGAGUCUCUUUAAAAUAACUUCCUUUGAAUGAGAAAAUCAGAAGGAUUCUUAAAAAAAGCAAAUGUGUAUUUCAGUAUGGGAUGAGUGUACGGAUUAAAAAAAAAAAAAAGCCAAUUUAAGAAUUAACACUCUGGUAAAAUUAUUAGCAAAGAUGCAAAGUUUUCAAGUCACCAACAAGGAGAAAAUGUGCAAGCAGCCAGCAGCUCAGGCUUCUCAAUGGAACUCUUUUCUUGUGGAGACAUCUUUCUCGUCCGUGGCUUGCAGAUGUGUCAGGGGGCUGCAGUGGAGGUGGUGAUGGUUGCUGGAGGUGUAGGAGCUGUGCUGUGGAUCAGAGUCCUGCCUGGCCCAGUCUGCUUUGCCCUUUCUGCCCCACCUCAUGGUGCUGUGCCUGACCCCCACUGUGUGAUGGCUGUGUCCCUGCGGCUUGGACAAGCAGCUCCCUACAGGAAAAAAAUUCCUUCCCAAGGCUCUUUUCCAUUUCUACUCCAUGACACAGGCAUUGGUUAGACAGUGUGGAAGAAGGCACCUCAUGCAGGGCUCCCUGGGAGCCAGAUGUCAAUGGCAAGGGAGUGUAAAGUGAGUCUUUUACUGAAGUGUGUGUGACAUGAAGAAAGUUUAACUUUUCUUUUCACACUCGAGAGACUAUUGCAAACCAGUCAACUCUUUGGUGUAGCAUGUGAUUGGUUUUGUUGUGUGUGAGACACAGAUGUGGUCCAUAACCUUCUUAGCACAUCAAAGUUUGCAUCUUGCUUCAAGGUCAAGUGUAGUUUUCUUAAUUCACUCUUCUCUUACAAUUUGUUUCCCCCAGCCUAAAAAUUAACGGUUAUGUAUAUUGCUACAUGUAAAGAUAGAAAUUUGAUUUUUAAAACAUGUCAGACAUCUCUUUGAAAUUGGGAGCUAGAUCCCUAAAUAUCUUUUGAAAUCUGGAGCUGUGCACCAGAUGGAGAACCAGCACUUAUAGAGUAAUUUCACAAAGGAAGUGGAGUGAAAUUAUUUCCUUUAGCAAAUAGUUUCACAGCAUGAAGAAGGAAAGCCAAGCCAGCAUCUUGCACAGGGAAAUGAUGCUUAUUCUCCCCUUCUUCAUGCCUCUUUCCUGGGGCUUGGGGGGGAAUUUUUGUUUGUUUUUUUUCUCCUAUGGAUGCAUCCAGGCCACAACACAGCACAAUGGAAUGUGCAAAACUAGGUAUUGGUUGCUCUCUAAUUGGCACGAGUUGCAGGUCAGAAUGAACACUCUGUGUCCCAUGAAAUGCUGUACCCUUUUUAUGUCCUGAAGUGAUUUGGGAGUAGAGAUAAAUGUCACCGAUACACUGAACAAGAGUUACUGGCCUGCGGAAUGAAUCCAAGAUAAUGUCAGAGGCUCUUCAAGGCAGGCUGAUAAUGUGGUGUGUCAGCCUUAUGUAACUGGAUAUAUGUACCUGAGGUUAUGUGCAAAUGUAGGGGCUGCAGCUGGGCUCAACACCCCAGGAAAAUCCCAUCAGCUGCCGAAGUCAGAGUAGCAAAGACUGACAGUGUCCCUGGUCGGGAAAAUCCAGUCCUGAUCACCUCUGAAGACAAUAGUGAUACUGCAGAUUGCCAGGAAUUUGUCCUAAUCUCGACAGUCUAGAAAAGAUCUCCAAAGUUUCCUUCUUCUGGAUGCUGGCAACAUGUGCAGUGUGCGCGUAGGUUUUUUGCAGUGUCUCGGAGGAAAAUGAAACUUUCUAGACAGGUGGAGCUCAUCAGUUUUCAAAAAAACAGCUUCUGCUUAGAGAUCAAACAACUGCCAUAUGGUGUUGUUUUUUCCUAUAGCACAAAUGUAUUUAGCUCUGCCAGGAGAAGUCUGGGGAACUAAUUGUCAGUGGCCACACAGGAUACGGCUGAACUUGGAUUAAAACACUACCAAAGCAUGGAGCAGCUUUGGAGAAAGGAGCUGAAUGGCAAGUGGGGGAGGAAGUGAUGCAGUGGGUCACUUAGGGAAAGAGGUACUGCUCAAUUUAACCUGAGUUUUGUUUUAUGAAAGCCUGGAUGCUGCAAAGAUACAGGUAUUAAAAAAAAAAAAAAAAUUAAAAAUUCCAGAACCCUUUAUAUAACUAUGCUCCUUCAUCAAGCUCUGAAGCCACAUUAUUUCAGUGGAAAAAAAAAAAAAAUACAAACAAAUAAUUGCAUGUUACUGUUCUCAGUCUUGGCUAUAAGAUGAAAUCUCAUUAGGAGCUGCAAUAACAGCA